rnacentral:rRNA from 1 species
GUACGGGGGGGGCAAGCGUUGUUCGGAAUUACUGGGCGUAAAGGGCUUGUAGGUGGCCAACUAAGUCAGACGUGAAAUCCCUCGGCUUAACCGGGGAACUGCGUCUGAUACUGGAUGGCUAGAGUGUGGGAGAGGGAUGCGGAAUUCCAGGUGUAGCGGUGAAAUGCGUAGAUAUCUGGAGGAACACCGGUGGCGAAGGCGGCAUCCUGGACCACGACUGACACUGAAAAGCGAAAGCCAGGGGAGCAAACGGG